AGACUGACGGGGGGCUUGCA
rnacentral:miRNA from 1 species